CAACCUCCUGAGGGGGAAGAGGCGCUGUUGUUCCUUCUUCAUGACUGUGCGCGUGUGUAGACCAUGUUAAUUCCUUAGUGAUUUGGACAACGAGGACAAUCUCACAUUGGCCUCGGAGAGUGAGAUCACCAAAUCUUCAGGGUCGGUUGGCAAACCUCACACCCGGCACAAAUGUUGUUAUUGUUGAAGCGUUCAUAAAAUGCACUGAGUUGGUCUUGUAGAGAGGCAUCGCUGGGUAGAUCACGGCUGGGUCUUCCUUUGUAAACCGUAAUGGACUGUAGCCCCUGCAACAUACUGCGGGCGUCAGAGCCUGUGAAAUAUGAUUCCACCUAAAUUGUCCUUUUGCUCGUCUGAUGACUGCAGUGGUCAUAGCGGAACUUCUUCUACUUGUUACUGUCGUCAGCCGUAGCUUCAGGGUUGUCUGGGAUAAGUAAUAUUCCUGUCGUCAGCCGUAGCUUCAGGGUUGUCUGGGAUAAGUAAUGUUCCUGUCCUCAGCUGUAGCUACAGGGUUGUCUGGGAUAAGUCAUGUUCCUGUCCUCAGCUGUAGCCUCCGGGUUGUCUGGGAUAAGUAAUGUUCCUGUCCUCAGCUGUAGCCUCCUGGUUGUCUGGGAUAAGUAAUGUUCCUGUCCUCAGCUGUAGCCUCCUGGGUUGUCGGGGAUGAAGUAAUGUUCCCACAGAGGUCAUAGCGGACUUCUUGUUAUGUUCCCCCGAGGCAGCGAUUGUAUCCCGGCCUAAGGCAGCGUCCCUAGGGCCCUGGUCAAAAGUAGUGCACUAUAUUGACUAGGGUGCCAUUAGGGAUGUAACAUAUUAACCCCUGCUGGACGUAUCAGUGCUGUUAGGCGCGUAC
rnacentral:lncRNA from 1 species